rnacentral:rRNA from 1 species
AAGAAACCAACAGGGAUUGCCCUAGUAACGGCGAGUGAAGCGGCAACAGCUCAAAUUUGAAAUCUGGCUCUUUCAGAGUCCGAGUUGUAAUUUGCAGAGGGCGCUUUGGCGUUGGCAGCGGUCUAAGUUCUUUGGAACAGGACGUCACAGAGGGUGAGAAUCCCGUACGUGGUCGCUAGCCUUCGCCGUGUAAAGCCCCUUCGACGAGUCGAGUUGUUUGGGAAUGCAGCUCUAAAUGGGAGGUAAAUUUCUUCUAAAGCUAAAUACUGGCCAGAGACCGAUAGCGCACAAGUAGAGUGAUCGAAAGAUGAAAAGCACUUUGGAAAGAGAGUCAAAUAGCACGUGAAAUUGUUGAAAGGGAAGCGCUUGCAGCCAGACUUGCCUGUAGUUGCUUAUCUAGACUUUUGUCUAGUGCACUCUUCUGCGGGCAGGCCAGCAUCAGUUUGGGCGGUUGGAUAAAGGUCUCUGUCAUGUACCUCUCUUCGGGGAGGCCUUAUAGGGGAGACGACAUGCAACCAGCCUGGACUGAGGUCCGCGCAUCUGCUAGGAUGCUGGCGUAAUGGCUGUAAGCGGCCCGUCUUGAAACACGGACCAAGGAGUCUAACAUCUAUGCGAGUGUUUGGGUGUCAAGCCCAGACGCGUAAUGAAAGUGAACGGAGGUGGGAACCCUUUGGGUGCACCAUCGACCGAUCCUGAUGUCUUCGGAUGGAUUUGAGUAAGAGCAUGGCUGUUGGGACCCGAAAGAUGGUGAACUAUGCUUGAAUAGGGUGAAGCCAGAGGAAACUCUGGUGGAGGCUCGCAGCGGUUCUGACGUGCAAAUCGAUCGUCAAAUUUGGGCAUAGGGGCGAAAGACUAAUCGAA